rnacentral:rRNA from 1 species
AGAGUUUGAUCCUGGCUCAGGAUGAACGCUGGCGGCGUGCUUAACACAUGCAAGUCGAACGAAGCAUUUACACGGAAUCCCUCGGGAGGAAGUGUGAAUGACUGAGUGGCGGACGGGUGAGUAACGCGUGGGCAACCUGCCCCGUACCGGGGGAUAACAGCCGGAAACGGCUGCUAAUACCGCAUAUGCUUUGCGGGCCGCAUGGCCCGCAAAGCAAAACUCCGGUGGUACGGGAUGGGCCCGCGUCUGAUUAGCUGGUUGGCGGGGUAACGGCCCACCAAGGCGACGAUCAGUAGCCGGCCUGAGAGGGCGGCCGGCCACAUUGGGACUGAGACACGGCCCAGACUCCUGCGGGAGGCAGCAGUGGGGAAUAUUGCACAAUGGGGGAAACCCUGAUGCAGCGACGCCGCGUGGGCGAGGAAGUACCUCGGUAUGUAAAGCCCUAUCAGCAGGGAAGAAACAAGACAGUACCUGACUAAGAAGCCCCGGCUAACUACGUGCCAGCAGCCGCGGUAAUACGUAGGGGGCAAGCGUUAUCCGGAUUCACUGGGCGUAAAGGGAGCGCAGGCGGCAUGGCAAGUCUGAUGUGAAAACCCGGGGCCCAACCCCGGGAGUGCAUUGGAAACUGCCAGGCUGGAGUGUCGGAGGGGUAAGCGGUAUUCCUAGUGUAGCGGUGAAAUGCGUAGAUAUUAGGAGGAACACCAGUGGCGGAGGCGGCUUACUGGACGGUAACUGACGCUGAGGCUCGAAAGCGUGGGGAGCAAACAGGAUUAGAUACCCUGGUAGUCCACGCCGUAAACGAUGAAUACUAGGUACAGGGGCACAAAAGUGCUUCUGUGCCGCAGCUAACGCAAUAAGUAUUCCACCUGGGGAGUACGCCGGCAACGGUGAAACUCAAAGGAAUUGACGGGGGCCCGCACAAGCGGAGGAACAUGUGGUUUAAUUCGAUGAUACGCGAGGAACCUUACCCGGGCUCAAACGACAGACGGAUACUUUUGAAAGGAGGUAGCUCUUCGGAGCGUCUGUCGAGGUGCUGCAUGGUUGUCGUCAGCUCGUGCCGUGAGGUGUCGGCUUAAGUGCCAUAACGAGCGCAACCCCCAUCUACAGUUGCCAUCGAGUGAAGUCGGGCACUCUGUAGAGACUGCCGGCGCAAGCUGCGAGGAAGGCGGGGAUGACGUCAAAUCAGCACGGCCCUUACGUCCGGGGCGACACACGUGUUACAAUGGCAGGUACAGCGGGAAGCCACCUGGCGACAGGGAGCGGAACCCGAAAACCUGUCUCAGUUCGGAUUGGAGUCUGCAACUCGACUCCAUGAAGCUGGAUUCGCUAGUAAUCGCGCAUCAGCCAUGGCGCGGUGGAUACGUUCCCGGGCCUUGCACACACCGCCCGUCA